GCUUGUCUCAAAGAUUAAGCCAUGCAUGUCUAAGGAUAAACAACUUAUACUGUGAAACUGCGAAUGGCUCAUUAAAUGAGUUAUAGUUUAUUUGAUGGUGCCUACUACUCGCAUAACCGAACUAAUUCUAGAGCUAAUACGUGCGUAAAUCCCGACUCCUCAAAGAAACGUAUUUAUUAGAUUUAAAGCCAACCGAGCUUGCUCGUCUCUUGAUGAAUCAUGAUAACUUCACAAAUCGCAUGGCCUCGCGCCGGCGAUAUUCCAUUCAAGUUUCUGCCCUAUCAAUUGGCGAUGGUAGGAUAGAGGCCUGCCAUGGUGUUAACGGGUGACGGGGGAUAAGGGUUCGAUUCCGGAGAGGCAACUUGAGAAACGGCUACCACAUCCAAGGAAGGCAGCAGG
rnacentral:rRNA from 1 species